UACGAAGGUGGCAAGCGUUAUUCGGAUUUACUGGGCGUACAGGGAGCGUAGGCGGUUCGGUAAGCCCUUUGUGAAAUCUUCAGGCUUAACCUGGAACAGUCGGAGGGGACUGCCGGGCUAGAGGACGGGAGAGGAGCGCGGAAUUCCCGGUGUAGCGGUGAAAUGCGUAGAGAUCGGGAGGAAGGCCGGUGGCGAAAGCGAUCCGCUGGCCCUCUUCUGACGCUGAGGCGCGAAAGCCAGGGGAGCAAACGGG
rnacentral:rRNA from 1 species